GCCGCCCAGCGCUGGAAUUCUCUCCCACUGCAUACUCGAGAGUCCAAACUUGAGUAUAAAACAGGAUCAGAUAUGUAUACUUCACAAUGACAUUUGCAGAUCUUCUGGUCCAAACGAGUAAGGCAGAAGUUCUUCUAAAGUCUUCACUAUGUACGUCCCAUCGGAUUUGGUCAAAUAGAGGUCCCAGUGUUUGCCAAACUAGAAGAGAAUCACGUGAGAAAAGUGUCUUAAAACUUGCAUUUGCAGCAGGAAUGGUCUUCAAAGCAGAUCCACUGAGACGAAUAUAUUCUCCCGGUUCCUUUGGAAGGCGAUUCGCAUUGAAUAUGAUGUUAGUUUAUCUCCUGCUAUUUCUUGUCGGUAACAUAUUAGGCAACCUGCUUCUUAAUACAUACUUGCGUGUUGUUAACGGAUUCUUUAAUGUGUAACAGAUGGCCCUUUGGCAUACUGUAGAUUCCAGAGCCUAACAAAGAAAUCAUUCAAUCACAGCCUCUGAAUGCUCCCUCUUCUUCCUUGCGCAAGGAGUAUUGCACACCUGAGAAUUCUCUGGAUCUUCACACUUCAUUAUUUUCCAUGUUUGUUUUUUCCUAAUAUAUUUAUACUCUGCCUAUCCAGAUUACAUCCAAGAUGAUUCAGAGCAAAAAAUAGGACAUGGGGGGAAGAAAGUGACAUAAAAAAACAAAGGCUAAAACCGGAGUAAUUCAGCAAUAUGACAACGAACAACUUAAAAAGCCUAUUGAAGCCUAAUUUGUCUAGGAAGUUUUUCUCCUGCCUUUCUACCAAGGAACUCAGGGUAAACCCUCCUCGUCUCCAUUUUGGCCUUGCAACAGCCCGGUGAGGGAGGAGUUAAGUCAGGACCACCCAGCAAGCUUGUAGUCUGGGAUUGGAUUCCAGGCCUCUCAAAUAAUAGCCUUACACCUAAAUCAAGGCCUCAGAAGAAGAUCUCAGUGGAUGAGUAAAGUCAUAAGUGGACCGUCCCUGGUCCCUGUCAAAACUUUAGGACAUGCCACAUGGUCUUUGGCCUGAGCUGGUCUAGUGCUGUGGUGCCGGGGGAAUGGAAGCAUAACCCACAUGGUUUCCCCUGUAGAAAUCACACACAUUCCAGUGCUAGAGAAAAGACUGGUGGCCGUUACAAACCUGUCAUUUUCCCCUGUAACAGCUAGGGUUGCCAAUAGACUUGGAGAAAAAUGUCCCUUUAAUAGAAACUUAAUGUGUGGAAAUGGGCAGAGGAAGCUUUUCAGAGCAUGGGGAUAAAGAACAUCACCUGAUAAAUAACCAUUAAAUCUCUGUUAAAGGGGCAGGACUUUUUUUCCUCCAGGCAGUUGGCAACUCUACUCCCACCUAUUUUAUCCUCGAAACAACUCCAUGAAGUAGAUUAGGCUGAGAUUGAAUGACUUGUCCAAGGUCACCUGGUGAGUGUCCUCAUGGAGUCUUUCUACACGAGACACCUCAGCACAUGUUUGUCAAGUGUAGGGAGAUGCAAUGUUAACCGGAAAGUGUAGUUUAAAAAUAGAGCCAGCAGAGAUCACUCCUCAGAGGGUUUGUUAAUUUCAUUGUUGCCUCCCAGAAGGUUCUGUCAAUUUCACUUCUCCAGUCUAAAACUGUGUGGGAUCACAGUAAGAGGGCAGCGAGGAAUGGAAAUGGGUUGGAGCUGGCUUCCAGAGCCAGGCUUGGAUGUGGAGAGGUUAUAACGGGCUGAAGUUUCCCUUCUGGCAUUUCACAGCCUCUUCCCAUAGCUCCAGUGUAUAUCAAAGCCUUUGCCAUGCUGACAGCUCUGUCUUUUCAAACUACCCUGCCUGGCUAACUUUGCAUCCCCUAACACAUGUCCGUCAUGUGUCAGACUUCUUGUGUAGAAAGUCUCUGAGUGGUGAUUUGGACCCUGUUCUCUCCUGUCAAUAUAUCUAUGGCCCCAUCUGUGGAUACAUAGAACUAGAGACUUGUGACCAUGGACAGACAAUACCUAUCUUCCUACAAACCUGAGAAAAGCCAGGUUUGCAGAAAAAUUUGAAAUCCAAUUAAAAAUAGACUGGGAGUUAACCCCCCCCCUCUCAAGAUAAAAGUAGUGUCUGUAGCUUUAAGAAUGCCUUCUGUGGCUGUUACUAGGCAACCACAACAGUAUUGCCUAUUGAAGCCUUAAGAAAAGGCAAGGGGCAGGGCCCUUACCAGGCCUCUUUUGGCCUUUGAGGGAGGACUCAUUGGGCCAGAUCUGCCCAGUGACUUGAUAAUGUAUAUUUUGCAUGACUCACUCAGGCCCAGAUGCUUGCUACUGUUCCAGAGCAGCUAAUCCACAAAAGCCAGUGUGGUGUAGUGGUUAGAGUUUCAGACUAGGAUCUGGGAGACCAAGGUUUGAAACCCAGCUCUGCCACGAAAGAGUGACCUUGGACCAGUCACUCACCCAGUGUAGCCUACUUCUCAGGGUUGUUGUGAGGAUAAAAUGGAGAAGAUAAGAAUGAUGUUAAGCUGCUUUUGGUACUUUUGUGGAGGGUAUAAAUGAAAUAAUUAUAGCUGAAGAUGGGAGGGCAGAUAAAAGGUAGGUUCA